rnacentral:rRNA from 1 species
GACGAACGCUGGCGGCGUGCUUAACACAUGCAAGUCGAACGGAGUGGCGAACGGGUGAGUAACACGUGGGUGACCUUCCCUGCACUUCGGGAUAAGCACGGGAAACUGGGUCUAAUACCGGCGCGUGCGGGAUGGGCCCGCGGCCUAUCAGCUUGUUGGGGGGGUAAGGGCCUACCAAGGCGGCGACGGGUAGCCGGCCUGAGAGGGUGGACGGCCACAUGGGGACUGAGACACGGACCAGACUGCUACGUGAGGCAGCAGUGGGGAAUAUUGCACAAUGGGCGGAAGCCUGAUGCAGCGACGCCGCGUGGGGGAUGACGGCCUUCGGGUUGUAAACGCCUUUAACCAUCGACGCGGUAGAUGGAGAAGAAGCACCGGCUAACUACGUGCCAGCAGCCGCGGUAAUUC